UACGUAGGGGGCAAGCGUUGUCCGGACUUACUGGGCGUAAAGCGCGCGCAGGCGGUGGCGUAUGUGCCGGGUGAAAGCCCCUGGCUUACCUGGGGUCGGCCCGAUACACAGCGUCACUCGAGCCUCGGAGAGGCCGGUGGAAUUCCGGGUGGAGCGGUGAAAUGCGUAGAGAUGUGGAGGAACACCAGUGGCGAAGGCGACUCUUGGUCUGUAACUGACGCUGAGGCGGACGAAAGCG
rnacentral:rRNA from 1 species